AAUCAACGCUGGCGGCGUGCCUCAGACAUGCAAGUCGAACGCGAAAUUUCCCUUCGGGGAGAAAGUAGAGUGGCGCACGGGUGAGUAACACGUAGGUAAUUUGCCUUUGGGUGGGGAAUAACAGCCGGAAACGGCUGCUAAUACCGCAUAAUGCAGCGGCUCGACAUCGAGACAGUUGUUAAAGCGGGGGAUCUCGCAAGAGACCUCGCGCCUAAAGAGAAGCCUGCGGCAGAUUAGCUAGUUGGUAAGGUAAUGGCUUACCAAGGCGACGAUCUGUAACCGGCCUGAGAGGGCGGUCGGUCACACUGACACUGACAUACGGGUCAGACUCCUACGGGAGGCAGCA
rnacentral:rRNA from 1 species